AUUGAACGCUGGCGGCAUGCCUUACACAUGCAAGUCGAACGGCAGCACGGGUGCUUGCACCUGGUGGCGAGUAGCGAACGGGUGAGUAAUACAUCGGAACAUGUCCUGUAGUGGGGGAUAGCCCGGCGAAAGCCGGAUUAAUACCGCAUACGAUCUACGGAUGAAAGCGGGGGACCUUCGGGCCUCGCGCUAUAGGGUUGGCCGAUGGCUGAUUAGCUAGUUGGUGGGGUAAAGGCCUACCAAGGCGACGAUCAGUAGCUGGUCUGAGAGGACGACCAGCCACACUGGGACUGAGACACGGCCCAGACUCCUACGGGAGGCAGCAGUGGGGAAUUUUGGACAAUGGGCGAAAGCCUGAUCCAGCAAUGCCGCGUGUGUGAAGAAGGCCUUCGGGUUGUAAAGCACUUUUGUCCGGAAAGAAAUCCUUGGCUCUAAUACAGUCGGGGGAUGACGGUACCGGAAGAAUAAGCACCGGCUAACUACGUG
rnacentral:rRNA from 1 species